rnacentral:lncRNA from 1 species
UCAAAAAUCACAAAAUAGCACUUAAUGUUUUAUCAAAAGUCACAAACUUAGGGUUUAGAGUUAAAGGGUGGGGUUUAGGAUUUAGGGUUUAGGGUUUAGAAUUUAGGGUUUAAGGUUUAGAGUUUAGGGUUUAGGGUUUAGGGUUUAGGGUUUAGAGCUUAGGGUUUAGGGUUUAGGGUUUAGAGUUUAGGGUUUAGGGUUUAGAGUUGAUAAAUGAGGUUUUGGGGAUAAGAUUUCAAAUUUUGAAAAAUAAAAAAAUUAAAAUUUUCAAAGGAUAAACUUACAAAGGUGUUAUUUUGGUCAUUUUAGUUUUUGAGUGCUAUUUUUGUGAUAUAAACUUAGAAAUGUGCUAUUUUGGAGAUUUGCCUAUUUU